rnacentral:lncRNA from 1 species
AAGCUCUCCUUCCUCUACACCCUCAAUCGGCCCCUCUCUCUAACCUCACAAGCCAUUCUUCUCUCACAAAUCCAUCGGCCAUUCCUCCAGAAUCCGGUCUUGUUCCGGUCGUUCCAGCCGCCGCACUCACUCCGGCGUCCCUCUCUCCUCACUCAGCCGUUCCAUCACUCUCUCCCUCACUCUGUCAAUCUCACGCCCCUCGUCCUCCUCUGCCUCGAGACUUCCGCCACCGCCGUCGCCACUGGACCGACGUGGUUCGUGUGUUGCCGUUUUGGGGAAGCCGCUGCUAUCGUUUCGAUCCACCACCGGCGCUGUGCAGUCGGCGAGUAGCGCUGUCGUUGACGACUAGGGGCGUCGCUGCCGGCGUCUGCUUGAUUCGUCGCACCGUUGCCGUUGUUCUUGAGGUCCAGCGGCCAGCAGUGCAGCCCAACGUUCUUCUCUUCUAAAGUUAAGUCUAUUUCAUUCUACUAUUGUAUCUUGAUUUAUUUGCUUAUGAGGUGAAAGUUUAAUACCAGGGGUUGUGGUUUUCCUAAUUCCGUUUAUAAGCCGUGGGGAUUUUGCUACUGUGCUAAAUGAAUAACAGCGUUGUUAUAUGCUCGUCAAUGAGCCCUGUGUUGGAUUAUGAGCUAAGGUGUAUCCUUUCUUAUUAAACUGUGGAGCCUAUUUUCAUGUGUAUACUGAUCAUGCUUGGAUGGAGAAUAUGCAUUAUAGGACAUAGCAUAUUGAGCUCAGUAAAUACCUCGAAUGUGAUCGAAUUGAUUUCUUGUUGUUGAAUCGAAUGAAGUGUGAAAUAACUGAAAUGAAUUUGACGGUGCUGUUGGCAUGUUGCUUUAAUAAAUGCAGGUGAAUAAAGGAGGAAUGGAGGGAAUUUAGCCAAGACUUACCUAUCGAAGCUUGGCAGUAGGAGUCAUACAUGAUAAAAUAGGUAAAUAAUUGAUAUAUUAAAAAUAAUGCUUACAAAUAAAAUACUCAGAAUUAUUUUGUGUGAAUGUUGAAGAAUGAAAAAUUAUGAGUAAUUUUAUAUUGCAGUACAAGAGGCCCACCCAAACCCUGCGGUCCAGUUUGAUAUUUAACCCAGUCCGACAUUCCAAAACAACCCUCAAAUCAAAUCCCAAAUUCCAGCCG